rnacentral:rRNA from 1 species
GGCAGGCCUAACACAUGCAAGUCGAGCGGUAGCGGGCCUGACCACUCUCGAGUGGUUCAGGUGCCGACGAGCGGCGGACGGGUGCGUAACACGUAGGAAUCUGCCCGGUAGUGGGGGAUAGCCCGGAGAAAUUCGGAUUAAUACCGCAUACGCCCUAAGGGGGAAAGCAGGGGAUCUUCGGACCUUGCGCUAUCGGAUGAGCCUGCGUCGGAUUAGCUUGUUGGUGGGGUAAAGGCCUACCAAGGCGACGAUCCGUAGCUGGUCUGAGAGGAUGAUCAGCCACACUGGGACUGAGACACGGCCCAGACUCCUACGGGAGGCAGCAGUGGGGAAUAUUGCACAAUGGGCGAAAGCCUGAUGCAGCCAUGCCGCGUGUGUGAAGAAGGCCCUAGGGUUGUAAAGCACUUUCAGUGGGGAGGAAAGGUCGAAGGUUAAUACCCUUUGGCUGUGACGUUACCCACAGAAGAAGCACCGGCUAACUCCGUGCCAGCAGCCGCGGUAAUACGGAGGGUGCGAGCGUUAAUCGGAAUUACUGGGCGUAAAGCGUGCGUAGGCGGCCAUUUAAGUUGGAUGUGAAAGCCCCGGGCUCAACCUGGGAACUGCAUCCAAAACUGGGUGGCUUGAGUGCGAGAGAGGAGUGUGGAAUUUCCUGUGUAGCGGUGAAAUGCGUAGAUAUAGGAAGGAACACCAGUGGCGAAGGCGACACUCUGGCUUGACACUGACGCUGAGGUACGAAAGCGUGGGGAGCAAACAGGAUUAGAUACCCUGGUAGUCCACGCCGUAAACGAUGUCUACUAGUUGUCGGUGGUCUUGUACUGCUGGUAACGCAGCUAACGCGAUAAGUAGACCGCCUGGGGAGUAC